rnacentral:rRNA from 1 species
AUUGAACGCUGGCGGCAGGCUUAACACAUGCAAGUCGAGCGGAGCGAGGGUGCUUGCACCUUAGCUUAGCGGCGGACGGGUGAGUAAUGCUUAGGAAUCUGCCUAUUAGUGGGGGACAACAUUCCGAAAGGAAUGCUAAUACCGCAUACGCCCUACGGGGGAAAGCAGGGGAUCUUCGGACCUUGCGCUAAUAGAUGGGCCUAAGUCGGAUUAGCUAGUUGGUGGGGUAAAGGCCUACCAAGGCGACGAUCUGUAGCGGGUCUGAGAGGAUGAUCCGCCACACUGGGACUGAGACACGGCCCAGACUCCUACGGGAGGUAGCAGUGGGGAAUAUUGGACAAUGGGCGGAAGCCUGAUCCAGCCAUGCCGCGUGUGUGAAGAAGGCCUUUUGGUUGUAAAGCACUUUAAGCGAGGAGGAGGCUCUUAAGGUUAAUACCCUUGAUGAGUGGACGUUACUCGCAGAAUAAGCACCGGCUAACUCUGUGCCAGCCGCCGCAGUAAAAC